UGCAUCUCCACUAUCUAUCUUUCCGAAUGACUCUUUUAAAUCUCUUUCCACCAUAUUUAUCGCUCUCUCUCCCUCUCUUCCAUAACGCCCUAUUUCUCGAUCCCUCUCUUUCCAUAAUGGAGUCUAUUCUCUCUCUACACUCUCUUCCUCUUUAUCCCAUAUUUCUCUCUUUCUCUCUUUCCAUAAUACCCUAUUUCUCUCUUCCUCUCUUUCCAUGGAGUCUAUUCUCUCUCUACACACACUCCGUCUCUCCCAUAUUUCGAUCGCUUCCUCUUUUUUGAUAACGUUAUAUUUCUCUCUUUUCUUCUUUUCCUCUACCAUUCUCUCUCUUCCUCCCCAGUUUCUCACUCUACCCCCUCUAUCAUGAAACACACUCUUUUUUCUCCUAUUCUCUUCUCCAUAACCUUAGAUAUUCAUUGUAAUGGCAUUUUCAAGAUAUUUGAGUGAUCUAUAGAAGCCCUAAAAUAAUUUGUUGAUUGAGGCUAUGUAGAUCAAGUUGUUUCGAUGUGUUCUCAACUGAACUACUAUGGCAACAGAAUUUUGGGUUUUCAAAAUGUCAAAACAACUGAUCAUUUGUUUCUUCAAUGCCAAUAUACUGAUUUUAUAUGGAGAUGGGUGAUGGAUGUGUUGGGUAUGCAGUUAGACAACAGUGUUAUGAGAAGACUCAGCCGAGGCGUCUCGGAUUCGACUGAGUAACUCAGGGCAAGGCGAAUUUUAGGCUGGUAUUUUUUUUGUGGAGUUCUAAAAAGACAGUUGUAGGCCUCCAAGAAUCGAACCCCACACCUCUUGCAAGGAAGCCUCUCAGAUUUGGCCGAA